AGGAUGAACGCUGGCGGUCUGCUUAACACAUGCAAGUCGAACGGAGUAGCAAUACUUAGUGGCGGACGGGUGAGUAACGCGUGAGAAUCUACCUUCAGGACGGAGACAACAGUUGGAAACGACUGCUAACCCCCGAUGUACCGAAAGGGCAAAUAUUUAUAGCCUGAAGAAGAGCUCGCGUCCGAUUAGCUAGUUGGAGAGGUAAAAAGCUCACCAAGGCGACGAUCGGUAGCUGGUCUGAGAGGACGAUCAGCCACACUGGGACUGAGACACGGCCCAGACUCCUACGGGAGGCAGCAGUGGGGAUUUUCGCAAUGGGCGAAAGCCUGACGGAGCAAGACCGCGUGGGGGAAGAAGGCUCUUGGGUUGUAAACCCCUUUUCUCUGGGAAGAACACAAUGACGGUACCAGAGGAAUCAGCAUCGGCUAACUCCGUGCCAGCAGCCGC
rnacentral:rRNA from 1 species